rnacentral:rRNA from 1 species
GACGUAGGGCGCGAGCGUUGUCCGGAUUUAUUGGGCGUAAAGAGCUCGUAGGCGGCUUGUUGCGUCGACUGUGAAAACCCGCGGCUUAACUGCGGGCUUGCAGUUGAUACGGGCAGGCUAGAGUUCGGUAGGGGAGACUGGAAUUCCUGGUGUAGCGGUGAAGUGCGCAGAUAUCAGGAGAAACACCGGUGGCGAAGGCGGGUCUCUGGGCCGAUACUGACGCUGAGGAGCGAAAGCGUGGGGAGCGAACAGG